GGGUUCCGCCGCGGGGCUGCGAGCGCGCGCGGGCCAGUUCGGGCCGGGGGCGGGAACCGGCUCGGAUGCUCAGGGACGGUGGGGGUGGCAGGGCCCACCGGCUUGAGGCUGCCUUUCCCGGCGUUCCCUCGUUUAUUGGCUCACUCUUCCUUUCAUCCAUCCAUCCUUUGCGCAACAAUAUUUGAUGGGAAGCCUGCCAAGUCUCUACCUCUAUGUCCAUCAUUCAAUAAAUAUUUAGUCAAUCCUAAUGUGUGCCAGGCAGCAUUCUUGCUGGGAACACAGCAUUAAACAAAACAGAACAAAACAGACUAAGUUCCUCUUCUCAUGAAGCAGGGGCACAGAUCAUGGAAACCACUAUCAGAACUUGGGAUUUCAUUUAUGUCCAAUGUGAGUCAGGCAUCUCUCCUGGUGGCUGUCUUCCAUGUGGUGACUUAUGUAUCCAGGAUCCUUCUACUGUGUUUCUCCUCCAUUGCGAAGUCCUUCACUUCCAGCACCUGAGACAUUUUUUGGGUAUAUCUACAAGUGGCAUAUAUCACUUCUGCCCACAUUCACCUGGGUAGAACUCAAUCACAUUGUUUCACCUAACUGCAAGUGAGGCUGUGGAAUAUAGUCUCCCUAUGUGCCCAAGCAGAAGAAACAGGAUUGGUGAGCAUCUAGCCCAUCUCUACCACUAACAGUUUAUCCCCCCUAAUAAAUCAAUACACUGAUGAUCUA
rnacentral:lncRNA from 1 species